AUCUCAUCAGUGCAACUGAAAAACUUUGGGACAACAUAUCUGUCAGACACUUGAGAAUUGCCUGGUGUGGUGGUUUUUUAAAUUAUUUUCCUAAUUGUAGCCAGUAUCGCAGAGGACUUAGUAUUGGUUAGGCAAUUAGCUAAAUAAUUUUUUUUUCCUGCCAGAAACAGCUCCGUGAACUGUCAUCCUGACAACUCUAUCCUCGGAGCACUAUCCUUACCUCCACUGCACAGUGGAGGUGGCUCGGCGUGGAGGAAAGACGAGGUCAAGAGCACCAGGCUCCCCUGCAGCAGAGCCUGUGGCCGCAGCCAGUGGGCCCACGGUGCCCGAGCCUCACCGGCUCGCUCGCACCAUCUCCGCGGCCACACGGAAUAGGGUGCCCUUCCCUGGCGCUGAUGUAGCAGACGUGCCCCCUCCUUCUCACUUCUAUCUCAUCUAACAGUCACAUCACCUGGCAGGCGAGGCGUUAGCAUCUCCCGGUGGCAUGUGCAGGGAAGGCGACAUUUGGAAAUUAGGUGCCUUGCAGAUAAUCAGCUGCAGAGCUGCAAGUGGCCUAGCAUCCUUCACGGCCUCAAAAGGUCACCGACACAGGUGGAGCUGGUGGCUUGGAAGGCUGGAGAAAAAGCCCAUGUGCUCCAGUCAGCAGGGAUGGGGCAGCAACACGAGGAGAGGGAUGCGGAGUCGGAGUAGUGAGGAUCUGCUAUGCUCCAGGUGUCUUUGUGGCCUCCGAGAGACAGAUGAAUAAUAAAAUGCCACGCUGCCGUGGGCAGAGGCGCUGGGAGGGCCACGGAAGCAGCACCGCCGAGCCAGCAGCCUUCGCCCGAUGGGGAGCCGUUUCCAGAUAGAACCCAAUUUGUUAUCUGCUCUUUUCCUGCCAAAAAUCCCGAUGAGUCAAAAUGGGCCCGUCUGUCACAGCACUUGAUGGCAGGACGAUGCUGGGCAGGGGGACCGAGCGGUCCCCGGAGGACAGGCAGGCCUAGGAAGGAUGCUGGGCAUCGUGCACGGCCCUCCUCCUCCCUGAGGGCGCCCACUGGGGUUGUGAAACCCCAGCACUGACUUUAUAACCUUGACCGGUCGUCCCCACAACCUCCACCCCCAACCCGGGAGCCUGCAAUCCUCUGCCGUAGAGAUAAUAAACCAAGGAGCACGCAGGACA
rnacentral:lncRNA from 12 species